GCGUUGAGAGGAGAGGAUAACACUGCCCUGGACAAGGAUGAUGGAGGCCGUUGGGCUGAGAACACACAAAUGGCCUGGACUUUUC
ensembl:snRNA